rnacentral:rRNA from 1 species
UGGGCAACCUGCCCCUCUCUCUGGGAUAACCCCGGGAAACCGGAGCUAAUACCGGAUACUCCGGCUGGAUCGCAUGGUCCGGCCGGGAAAGGUCCGCCGGAGAGGGAUGGGCCCGCGGCCUAUCAGCUUGUUGGUGAGGUCACGGCUCACCAAGGCUACGACGGGUAGCUGGUCUGAGAGGGCGACCGGCCACACUGGGACUGAGAUACGGCCCAGACUCCUACGGGAGGCA